rnacentral:rRNA from 1 species
GACGAACGCUGGCGGCGUGCUUAACACAUGCAAGUCGAACGGAAAGACCCUGCUUUUGUGGGGUGCUCGAGUGGCGAACGGGUGAGUAACACGUGAGUAACCUGCCCUUGACUUUGGGAUAACUUCAGGAAACUGGGGCUAAUACCGGAUAGGGGCUCCUGCUGCAUGGUGGGGGUUGGAAAGUUUCGGCGGUUGGGGAUGGACUCGCGGCUUAUCAGCUUGUUGGUGGGGUAGUGGCUUACCAAGGCUUUGACGGGUAGCCGGCCUGAGAGGGUGACCGGCCACAUUGGGACUGAGAUACGGCCCAGACUCCUACGGGAGGCAGCAGUGGGGAAUAUUGCACAAUGGGCGGAAGCCUGAUGCAGCAACGCCGCGUGCGGGAUGACGGCCUUCGGGUUGUAAACCGCUUUCGCCUGUGACGAAGCGUGAGUGACGGUAAUGGGUAAAGAAGCACCGGCUAACUACGUG